UACGGAGGAUCCGAGCGUUAUCCGGAUUUAUUGGGUUUAAAGGGUGCGUAGGCGGUUUGAUAAGUUAGAGGUGAAAUGUCGGGGCUCAACCCCGAAACUGCCUCUAAUACUGUUGGACUAGAGAAUAGUUGCGGUAGGCGGAAUGUAUGGUGUAGCGGUGAAAUGCUUAGAGAUCAUACAGAACACCGAUUGCGAAGGCAGCUUACCAAACUAUAUCUGACGCUGAGGCACGAAAGCGUGGGUAGCAAACAGG
rnacentral:rRNA from 1 species